AUGCUCAACAUGAAGGUGUUCAACACGACUAUGUGUGACAUGCUCUACGCUGACAACGAUGAUGCCAAUACAUUCUGCCUCUUCUUAUUCCUCUACAUUUGGCUUUGUCUCGGAUCGAUUGUUAACGGUCAUUGUUGCAUUUGGAUAGGCAAUGGGAGCAGCAGUAGCGAUACUGGCUACAGCCAAAGCAACAGCAAUUCUGGCUGUAGCAAAAGCAACAAUGAUUCUGGUUGUAGCAAAAGCAGUAGCGAUUCUGGCUGCAGCAAAGACAGCAAGGAGGAUGAUCCGGACUGGAGUGGGGAUGAAGAGGAGCAGAGUGGGCAUCAGGCUGAGGAUGACCUAGCGAUGGUGGUGGCUGACCAAGGGCAAGAGAUGGUGUUGGUUGACAAUGGGCAAGAGAUGGUGGUGGCUCAGGAUGACCUAGCGAUGGUCGUGCCUGUCCUGCCUGAAGAUGGCCUCGCGAUGGUGGUGGUGCCUGACAAUGACCUCGCGCCGGUGGUGGCACCGGUGAUCCCACAGCUGGGUCACAUGACCACGCCAAUUGUGGUAGAAGACUACAUCCCAGUGCCUCCACCACCUCGCCGCUCUUGGUGCAUCAGGCUGUGGAAAGAGAAGGAGAAGAACAAUGAGAACUGA
rnacentral:rRNA from 1 species